rnacentral:rRNA from 1 species
UACGUAGGGUGCAAGCGUUAAUCGGAAUUACUGGGCGUAAAGCGCACGUAGGCGGCUUUGUAAGUUAGAGGUGAAAGCCCGGGGCUCAACCCCGGAACUGCCUUUGAAACUAGGUAGCUAGAAUCUUGGAGAGGUCAGUGGAAUUCCGAGUGUAGAGGUGAAAUUCGUAGAUAUUCGGAAGAACACCAGUGGCGAAGGCGGCCAACUGGACUGGUAUUGACGCUGAGGCGCGAAAGCGUGGGGAGCAAACAGG